GCGCACGUCUAAAUAAAUUGUAUAUCAAAACUUUCUAUAUCUUACCACCCAAAAAUGCAAGCUAAGAAAAAUUUUGUUGUUUAGAUUUUAGACUGUACAAAAAGAUCUCCUUUAAAAACUCCAAAAAUCUGCAAGUCUUACAAUUACACCCGAGAUAUUGGAUUUCUAAUAAAAUAUAAUCUUUCCCUGUAUACAAUUUUACUUUGUCUUGUUCCCACUAAUAACUAAUUUAUUACCAAAAAAUCCGCCCCUGCUUCUGCAUCCAUAAUCCACUGGAGUUUUGGGAAAAUGGGAAACAUGAAUCUCCAUGUUGUUUUGAUUGUAUUCUAUGCAUUCGUGUUACUCUUUUCCUUCCUCGCCUUCCGAAUGGUCGUCUCAACGAAAUCCCAGUUACUUUUUGUAUCCUUCAAAUCGCUUUGAUUUUUGUACUUGAAUAGUUGAAACUUCAGGUUGGUUCGAGCAAUAGCUUCUACAUUUCAUGUAUCCUCCCAUUGAUUAUGAAUUCUGCAUACUUCGUAAUUAAAAGACAACAGUUGUGCCUGCAUCAAAAUGAUUUAUUAUAUUUCGUGGUUGUAACAAUACAAAUAACAUAUGCGCGAGUGGAAUCCUAGGCGUGGUGUAGACAAUCUAAGUGUUACUGACCCAAACUCAUCCUGUGGAAUAUCAUUAGCAAUCUUGACAACCAGUGGCUCGACUCUUUCAAUUCCUCCUAUCGUGUUUACUUGCUAUGCAUUUACAUUAAUCAUCAGCAUAGAAAGGAUAUAAGCAAAUUUAAAAGCAAAUGCGGAUAUUAUAUUGUUAAGGAUAUGACGAAAUAUCAUCAACGUUACAUCUACGCAAGUUACUGUGCUGACAUAUCAUCAUCUUUACGGUGUGUUGAUCAUAUAUGCGAAUGAUUUCAUAUCUGUAACAUGUUGAUACUAGCACUGAUCAUAACGUAUAAUUCACCUUUCUGUUCAAUAAUGCAAUCACAUUAGGCACGUGAAAAAAGACAUUGCACCAUUCUUUUGACAAAAUUGUGUAGUGUAACUGUUGACACAUAAAAAUUC
rnacentral:lncRNA from 1 species